rnacentral:rRNA from 1 species
AUUGAACGCUGGCGGCAUGCUUUACACAUGCAAGUCGAACGGUAACAGGCCUUCGGGUGCUGACGAGUGGCGCACGGGUGAGUAAUGCAUCGGAACGUACCCAGAGGUGGGGGAUAACGCAGCGAAAGCUGUGCUAAUACCGCAUGUGAUCUGAGGAUGAAAGCGGGGGACCGAGCAGCAAUGUUUGGCCUCGCGCCUUUGGAGCGGCCGAUGUCGGAUUAGCUAGUUGGUGGGGUAAAGGCCUACCAAGGCGACGAUCCGUAGCUGGUCUGAGAGGACGACCAGACACACUGGGACUGAGACACGGCCCAGACUCCUACGGGAGGCAGCAGUGGGGAAUUUUGGACAAUGGGCGCAAGCCUGAUCCAGCAAUGCCGCGUGCGGGAAGAAGGCCUUCGGGUUGUAAACCGCUUUUGGCAGGAACGAAACGGUGUCCGCUAAUACCGGGCGAUAAUGACGGUACCUGCAGAAUAAGCACCGGCUAACUACGUG